GACGAACCGUGCGAACGUUAUUCGGAAUCACUGGGCUUAAAGGGCGCGUAGGCGGGUCAUCAAGUCCGGGGUGAAAGCCCACGGCCCAACCGUGGAAGUGCCUUGGAUACUGAAGACCUCGAGGGGGAUAGGGGCGUGCGGAACUCAGGGUGGAGCGGUGAAAUGCGUAGAUAUCUGGAGGAACACCGGUGGCGAAAGCGACUCACUGGACCGACACUGACGCUGAGGUGCGAAAGCUAGGGUAGCAAACGGG
rnacentral:rRNA from 1 species